rnacentral:rRNA from 1 species
CCCUUAGAUGUUCUGGGCCGCACGCGCGCUACACUGACGAAUGCAACGAGCUUAUAACCUUGGCCGAAAGGUCUGGGUAAUCUCCAAAUUUCGUCGUGAUGGGGAUAGAUUAUUGCAAUUAUCAAUCUUCAACGAGGAAUGCCUAGUAAGCGCAAGUCAUCAGCUUGCGUUGAUUACGUCCCUGCCCUUUGUACACACCGCCCGUCGCUCCUACCGAUUGAAUGGUCCGGUGAAGCGCUCGGACCGCGGCCUCUUGACGGUUUUCCGUCGAUUGGCUGUGGGAAGUUCGUUAAACCUUAUCAUUUAGAGGAAGGAGAAGUCGUAACA